rnacentral:rRNA from 1 species
UACGAAGGGGGCUAGCGUUGUUCGGAAUUACUGGGCGUAAAGCGCGCGCAGGCGGCUAUCCAAGUCAGUGGUGAAAGCCCGGAGCUCAACUCCGGAACUGCCAUUGAAACUGUUUAGCUUGAGUAUGAGAGAGGUGAGUGGAAUUCCCAGUGUAGAGGUGAAAUUCGUAGAUAUUCGGAAGAACACCAGUGGCGAAGGCGACUCACUGGCCCGUUACUGACGCUGAGGCGCGAAAGCGUGGGGAGCAAACAGG